GGGAGUGUGAUGUAGAGGUUUGAGCAUUGGACUACGGCUCUGGAGACCAGGGUUCAAUUCCGUGCUCUGCCA